GAGUUUGAUCGUGGCUCAGGAUGAACGCUGGCGGCAUGCCUAAUACAUGCAAGUCGAACGAGAGGAAGGAAAGCUUGCUUUCCUGAAUCUAGUGGCGAACGGGUGAGUAACACGUAGGUAACCUGCCCAUGUGCCCGGGAUAACUUCUGGAAACGGAUGCUAAAACCGGAUAGGUAGCAGACAAGCAUUUGACUGCUAUUAAAGUGGCCUUGGCCAUGAACAUGGAUGGACCUGCGGUGCAUUAGCUGGUUGGUGAGGUAACGGCCCACCAAGGCGACGAUGCAUAGCCGGCCUGAGAGGGCGGACGGCCACAUUGGGACUGAGACACGGCCCAAACUCCUACGGGAGGCAGCAGUAGGGAAUUUUCGUCAAUGGGGGGAACCCUGAACGAGCAAUGCCGCGUGAGUGAGGAAGGUCUUCGGAUCGUAAAGCUCUGUUGUAAGAGAAAAACGGCACUCAUAGGGAAUGAUGAGUGAGUGAUGGUAUC
rnacentral:rRNA from 1 species